UAGAUUUUAACAUUACAAGUUUAUGAAUCAUAGUUUUUCUCCAGUGGAGUUGAACUGUUUGUGAAGGCAUUGUUUGAACUCAAGAUCAAUCAUUUAUUUUCUGAGCUUGUUGAUGUCAGAAAGAUCCCAGCUUGAAGUGCACAUUCUGGGUUUUCUCUUUGUUUUUCUAGUCUUUUUCCCAACUGUAGAUGCAAAUAAUGUAUAAAGCUGGAAGCUCUGUUUGGUCUUUAGAGAUGAUCUUUGUUUUCUUUUGAAUAUGAGAAAGAAAAUGAUGUUUGUGAGUGAAAUGAAAUGUUUAGAUGUCAUUCACUCUGUUUUCUCUGCAACACCCAAAUCACAAAUAUCACAGCAAAUAUUAAAUAUGAAUCCAAGCUGAAUAUCAUUUAAACUGCUCAUCAGAUGAAUCAGAAUGAUAAAGAAUGACUUUAUAGACAAUGAAUGCUUUGAUGUUUCUCUGUUUUGUUACAUGUCCAAUAAGAAUAGACAGAAUUCAGAUGAAUCUUUAAUUGUAUGUUCUGUGUUUGAUCUUUGGUUUCUGUGUUUAUCAUUAUAAAAGAUGAAUAAAGUGUUUCCCUGUAGUUCACUGUGACUCUUGUUAAAUGCUGAAGUCAAACAGACUCUUCUGCUCUGCACCUCUCUUGUGUGUUUGCAUGUCAGUGUCUAGCAGAUGGAGCUCCACCUUCAGGUGUCAUAUACCUGUUGGAAGUCUGUUGGUAUCUGAGUAAUAAUGAACUCUUUAUUUUGCCCACCACAGUUAAUGUUAAUGCCUGUAUCAUCUGAAAUAUGUCAUAGAGUAGACCAACAUGUACGUUGUAUAAAGAUAUUGUACAAUAUUGUAUAAUGAUGUAAAACAUGGACACACUUUAUCAGUUACACCUGCCUGGUUCAAUGUUUGGACUUUUAUUUCCAGAACAGUAAAAAUAAUAAUUAAAAAUAUAUUUUUAGAUUCUUUAUCAGGUCGAUAUGUCCCUGUAACCAGAGGAGCAUAAAGACAUUUAAUUUCAGUGAUAAGAGAGUUUUAAUGGUAUUUGUGUAAUAAAGAGAGACAACCUACACACUAACUUUAAUGUGACAACAUUUAGAUCCUGUGUGAAUCUUCCUCGGCUCAGUCCGUCAACAUUUAAUGUUAAAG
rnacentral:lncRNA from 15 species